AUGCAGUCGUUAACACUUCGUCGGUUGGUAGCCGAGACAUCCGUAUUUCGCUCAUCGCCUUCUUGACGGAUCGCACUAGUCGUUCCCAGCAGCCUCCAAAGUGUGGUCCACCAGGCCUCAGCAAGCUCUCGCGAUGCACCGACAAAGUUCGUACCGUUGUCGCUGAUGAAUUCCAAAGGUUGCCCACGCCUAGCGAUGAAACGACGUAUAGCUAAGAUGCAUGAUGAUGUGGUCAGGGAGUGCGCAGCCUCUAGAUGGAUGCCCCUGGUGGUGAGGCAGGUGAAGAGAACGCCCCAACGUUUUUCGACUCGUCGACCAACUGCUACGGUUACCGGGCCAAAAUAGUCGACGCCCGUGAAUGAGAACGGCUUCUGAUAAGCAGCAAGACGCUCGGAGGGAAGGUUCCCCAUCUCUGGAGGCUCUGGCUUGGCAUCACGGUUUUUGCAGUGCUGACAUGUCCUACGGAUACGAUUGAAUUCGGCUUGCAGUCUCGGCAUUUGUAUCUUCUCAUAGCCAUGUCACGAGAGCAUGGCAACUUAACAUCGUCAAAACGCCACAGCAAUCCGGAUUCAUAAUGCUUUCCGUUGAAUUUCGAUUCCGCGUUGAGAAUCCCCAACGCUCGCUCAUCAUCCUUUGAACGAAGUGUUUCCAACGGUUUGACGAUACCGAGCGA